GCUUUCCAUACGAAAAAUGUGGAAAUAUUUGAGUUUUCUUUAUAUAAAACACAUUUCAUUUAACUUCUUUCAGUUUCACAAGGUGUAAAUCUGUCAUACAUGAUGUUGAUACAGAGAUAAUAAUGCAAAUGUCUGCAAUGACAAUUACUCAAAAUGUCUCAAAGCAACAAAGAAAAUGGUUUUCCUCAGUACACAGAGAGAAACGAUAAAAAGUAAGAAAGAAAAAUACACCCCAUUUACAUGUAAAUUGAUUUUUAUUCUUGUUGCAGAGAAGUCAGCGCAGGAACUAAAUGCAGGACUGAACAAGUAGGAGGUCAGAGCAGAAUACUAAUGAACUUCAUGUCACAAAAACAAAACCUGAGGCGCUGCCAAAGCAGCGAGUCGGCCGACAGAAAACAUGCAACAUGAAGUUAGACGCCUGCAGGAAAACAAGGCUGUGCAGCCAGAAAGCUGAGGAUCUGAAAAACCGCUGAACGAGGAACCAGGAGGAUGAAGGAGCGACAACAGGCUCGGUUUGGAGCUCCAAAAUCAGAAGUGAUCCUGAGGCUGCGGUUCUGCUGCGGUUCUGCCGUGACACGACGGGCAAGUUGUGCUAAUGGGAAAGUUAAAGGGUCAAUCCGCUGAUUUUAUACGUCAAGUUUAUAAUGUCAUUGGUUGAAGAUAUUCAGUGCAUGUCAAGGCAGCUCAGGCCUCCUGGAGCUUUUCACUGUAAAAACUGAGUGGGAGUGCAGUGGGAGCAGAGGAGUGGGAGACGAAGAGGACGGCAGUCUGCGUGGGAACCGGCUUCUGCAGCAGACACUUAACCUGAACAAGCUCCUUCUUUCUUAUUUUGAUUACAUUCACCACUCCAGGCAGAAACUGAACAACCACUGCAACAUCACAGCUCUCACACAGAGAGAAAGUGCUGCGGGACGCUGCGUGGACCUCCUGCUGCAUCAGAGAACCUACACAUAUUCCCUCUGACUGCACCGUUAAAGCCCGACGCGAGGAGCGAGCAGCUAUGAAACGCACACAGACGUCUCUGUCUUCCCGGAUAAGCAGCAGCUGUCUGCCUGUCAGCAGCGCCUGGACAAGAGACACUUUCUGAAAGUCAAAGAUGCAAUCAUGUAAAUCAGGACACAGUUGAAGUCUCCAGCCUGCGGAAUCAGAAAUACAGAAACAGAGCCGGACGGCAGCCAGUGAACAGUUAUUAGGUAACAUGCAGUACAUAAGGGCUUCGACACAAUGUCUGUACAACAACUAAGAACCAAAAUUGGUUCUCAUUAGCUGCUUUUCCGUUACAAAUGUACGCAAAACUUUGUCUAUAUUCCCACACAUUUUCACAUUUGUGGUAAUAAGAAAGGCUAAAAUCACACGUGAAAAAGUUUCUUCAUGCAUUAAGUCAUUAAAGAAACAUGUACUUCCAACUA